AUACGGAGGGUACGAGCGUUGUUCGGAAUUACUGGGCGUAAAGCGCGUGUCGGCGGCCGUAAAAGUCGGGUGUGAAAGCCCUGGGCUCAACCCGGGAACUGCGUUUAAAACUGGCGGACUAGAGUCCGGGAGAGGGUGGCGGAAUUCCCAGUGUAGAGGUGAAAUUCGUAGAUAUUAGGAAGAACACCAGUGGCGAAGGCGGCUUACUGGCUCGAUACUGACGCUGAGGCGCGAAAGCGUGGGGAGCAAACAGGAUUAGAAACCCCGGUAGUCC
rnacentral:rRNA from 1 species